GUAUACAAAUGACACUGAAUGGACACCUGGGCCAUUUGGCAGCAGAGGACCACAUAGGCCAAAUGAAGAAGGUACUGUUAUGGAUGAUUAUACUAUAGGGAUUGAAGGUCAUCCUAUAUGUUUUGGAUACAGGAAACACAGCCUCAAAACUUGUAUUUAUUUAGAGCACAACCUGGCCUGUGGCUGCCGUUUCAGGUGUCUUGACCAUGGCAACAUUGUUCAGAAAUGUAUCUGAUGGACCACACUCUAGGCGAGUUCCUCAUCUAUCCCGAUCCUGACCGGUUUGCUGGAAUGCUUGUUGCAGCUCUCAUAGGCAUUAUUGCUGUGACUGUGGCCGCAGCUACUGCGGCUGUCUCGUUGCACCAAUCUGUGCAGACAGUACAAUUUUUACAACAAUGGCAUGAGAAAUCGCACCAACAUUGGAAGACACAGCAGGAUAUUGACAGUAGACAGUCCAGUGAGAUUGCAGGCCUACAACAGGCUGUGUGAUGCUGCUGGGAGAUCAGUUACUGAGCCUACAAAGACAAGUAUCAUUACAAUGUGAUUGGAACACUACAUCAAUAUGUGUAACCCCAUUACCAUUUAAUAACACUAAAUUUCCAUGGAAUGAUGUUAGAGACACUUGCUCGGACAAUCUAACAUGUCUAUGGACAUUCAACAUCUGCAAGCACAGAUAUAUGAGACUUUCAAAAGAAAUCUGGACAUGUUAUCUGGAUCUAAGAUCUUAGAAAGUAUAUCAGAGGGAUGAGGAAUAUUGAACUCUAUAGAGCAUGUUAAGAUUUUUAGCUUCUCUACUGCUAUUCUGUUUGUGUUAAUAUGCGGUGUAUUUAUCUUUGCAUGUACAGUCUGGUGCCAGAGACGAGGAGGCUGUCAAUGUAUCAACCAACAGUUCGGGAUAUGCAAUGUCCUCCUACAGUCCAUCGUAUACAGACAGAAAGGGGGAGAUGCUGGAGAACAGGCUGGAAGCACCAUAAGAAUGUCCUGAAGGAAAGGGACAAAGCAGCAAGAAACUGAAAGAAGUUUCAUUCCCAGGACAGAAAGCCACUGGGAGUUAUGGUUCUCUCCAGAAGGACAUCAUCCGGGCGCCACCCUGGGGAUAAGAAUGUUUUAUCUGGUGCCAGAUGUACUCAUGACCCAGUAUGGAAAACACUGCAGGUACGUGACCUGUCAAGAUGCCAAAUACUAUGUUAUAUGUGCUUGCUGUUGUCAACAAGUUGCAAAAAUGAAAGAGGCUUGAGCCAAGGGACCGAGGCUUUGGCUCCUGGA